rnacentral:lncRNA from 1 species
CUGCUUUUCCCCUCUUGCUGCCAGAAGCAGGAGGAGAUUUUUCUCUGAGCUUCAAUUGAGAAACUGCUGGGGCUCGCUGAGUUUGAGGAAGAGGCAUCUGAACAGAUGCCUGAAGAACAUGAACAAACCGGUCAUAUGAAGAUGUAGGAUCAGAAUGUUCAGGAAAAAGAAAAAGCAAGUGAAAACUUUUACAGUCAGAAUGAGCUUGGCUUAUUUGGAGAAUAGGCGAUGAAAUAAACAGAGACUUGCAACAAAUAGGAGAGCAGCAAUUGAAGAACCGUGGUUACACUGCAAAGGAUAUCAAUGCUCACAGCAUCUCAGAGCGCUAGUCUACCCUGCCACCCUUAUGGAUAAUAUAUUUCUGGACUUUGAAUCGAGUCAGUACCCAGAACUACAGGACUGUCAAAUGCUUCUGAAGAGUCUCCUUUACUUCAUCCUUCAGUUGCAAUACAUCAUUUUUGUUCUUUUGCUUCUGUUAUUUUAACAUAGUCUACAGAUAUUUUCAAGAGCAGUCUAAUCUAUUUUUUUAAUUGAACUUUAUAUUGACAAAAAAAGGUAUCUCAAAUUCAAAAACGAUGAUGUACAAUGGCUUCUGUCUUUGGUUUUAUAAUGCUUUCAUCAUCAUUAGAACAUUCAAAAUGUAACAUCGCUUGCAGUAUUUUAUUCAAUUUUUUUGUUUUUUUCCCCAAACAAAGUAUGAAAGUUAUAAUUCAAAAUAAGGCUUAUAUGGACAAUGAAUAAAAAAAUCAAGAUGU